GAUGAACGCUGGCGGCGUGCCUAAUACAUGCAAGUCGAGCGAACAGACGAGGAGCUUGCUCCUCUGACGUUAGCGGCGGACGGGUGAGUAACACGUGGAUAACCUACCUAUAAGACUGGGAUAACUUCGGGAAACCGGAGCUAAUACCGGAUAAUAUAUUGAACCGCAUGGUUCAAUAGUGAAAGACGGUUUUGCUGUCACUUAUAGAUGGAUCCGCGCCGCAUUAGCUAGUUGGUAAGGUAACGGCUUACCAAGGCGACGAUGCGUAGCCGACCUGAGAGGGUGAUCGGCCACACUGGAACUGAGACACGGUCCAGACUCCUACGGGAGGCAGCAGUAGGGAAUCUUCCGCAAUGGGCGAAAGCCUGACGGAGCAACGCCGCGUGAGUGAUGAAGGUCUUCGGAUCGUAAAACUCUGUUAUUAGGGAAGAACAAAUGUGUAAGUAACUAUGCACGUCUUGACGGUACCAAUCAGAAAGCCACGGCUAACUACGUG
rnacentral:rRNA from 1 species